rnacentral:tRNA from 1 species
UAGGGCUAGGUCAUCCCGGCGGGCUCAUAACCCGCAGUUCAGUAGUUCAAAUCUACU